rnacentral:misc_RNA from 1 species
AACUUUUAGCAACGGAUCUCUUGGCUCUCGCAUCAAUGAAGAACGCAGCGAAAUGCGAUACGUAAUGUGAAUUGCAGAAUUCAGUGAAUCAUCGAAUCUUUGAACGCACCUUGCGCCCCUUGGCAUUCCGAGGGGCACACCCGUUUGAGUGUCGUGAAAUUCUCAAACCUUCUUGGUUUCUUGAUCAAGAUGGCUUUGGACUUUGGAGGCAUUUUGCUGGCUUUGCGAAAAGCCAGCUCCUCUUAAAUACAUUAGUGGGAUCCCCUUUGCCGAUCCCCAGGCGUGAUAAGAUAUUUCUAUGUCUUGGGAUUUGCUCUGUUCCUUGGGAACCCGCUUCCAACCGUCUCAUGGGAGACAUCGUUCGAGUUUGCUCGACCCACGAACCUUGACCUCAAAUCGGGUGAGACUACCCGCUGAACUUAAGCAUAUCAAUAAGCGGAGGCU